GACGAACGCUGGCGGCGUGCUUAACACAUGCAAGUCGAGCGGUAAGGCCCUUUCGGGGGUACACGAGCGGCGAACGGGUGAGUAACACGUGGGUGACCUGCCCUCAGCUCUGGGAUAAGCCUGGGAAACUGGGUCUAAUACUGGAUAUGACUCCACGGUGCAUGUCGUGGGGUGGAAAGCCUUGUGCGGCUGAGGAUGGGCCCGCGGCCUAUCAGCUUGUUGGUGGGGUGACGGCCUACCAAGGCGACGACGGGUAGCCGGCCUGAGAGGGCGACCGGCCACACUGGGACUGAGACACGGCCCAGACUCCUACGGGAGGCAGCAGUGGGGAAUAUUGCACAAUGGGCGAAAGCCUGAUGCAGCGACGCCGCGUGAGGGAUGACGGCCU
rnacentral:rRNA from 1 species